CUGCAUUUCUGACCGACCGCCAGACCACCUGCAUUGCCCUGACAGCCCCCUGGUUCCCAGGGAAGAAUCCACCAAAAUACCACAAAAAUUUAAGCAAAUGAUAAAUAAAUAAAAAAUGUGUGUUUAUCUGUUAGUGAGUGUUAGUGAGUGUUAGUGUGUGUCUGAGAGUGAGAGUGUGUAUGUCUCUGUUUAUGAGAGUGUGUCUGUUAGUGCGUGUCAGUGUGUGUCUGAGAGUGAGAGUGUGUAUGUCUCUGUUUAUGAGAGUGUGUCUGUUAGUGCGUGUCAGUGUGUGUCUGUUAGUGAGAGUGUGUGUGUGUCUGUUAGUAAGAGUGUG